rnacentral:tRNA from 1 species
GCGGGUAUAGCUCAGUGGUUAGAGUGGGAUCUUGCCAAGAUUCAAGCCGUGCGUUCAAAUCGCAUUAACCCGCA